rnacentral:rRNA from 1 species
AACGACUCUCGGCAACGGAUAUCUCGGCUCACGCAUCGAUGAAGAACGUAGCAAAAUGCGAUACUUGGUGUGAAUUGCAGAAUCCCGUGAACCAUCGAGUUUUUGAACGCAAGUUGCGCCCGAAGCCUUUUGGUCGAGGGCACGUCUGCCUGGGCGUCAC